rnacentral:rRNA from 1 species
CCUACGGGCGGCAGCAGUAGGGAAUAUUGCUCAAUGGGGGAAACCCUGAAGCAGCAACGCCGCGUGGAGGAUGAAGGUUUUCGGAUUGUAAACUCCUUUUGUUAGAGAAGAUAAUGACGGUAUCUAACGAAUAAGCACCGGCUAACACCGUGCCAGCAGCCGCGGUAAUACGGAGGGUGCAAGCGUUAUACGGAAUAACUGGGUGUAAAGAGGGCGUAGGGGGGAUAGCAAGUCAGAUGUGAAAUCCUUUGGCUUAACCAUAGAAUUGCAUUUGAAACUGUUAGUCUAGAGUAUGGGUGAUGUAGGUGGAAUUCUUGGUGUAGCGGUAAAAUCCUUAGAGAUCACGAAGAAUACUCAUUGCGAAGGCAGCUUACUAGA